CCUACGGGUGUCAGCAGUGGGGGAUAUUGGACAAUGGGGGGAACCCUGACCCAGCGACGCCGCGUGAGUGAAGAAGUAUUUCGGUAUGUAAAGCUCUGUCAGCAGGGAAGAAAGCAAUGACGGUACCUGACUAAGAAGCCCCGGCUAACUACGUGCCAGCAGCCGCGGUAAUACGUAGGGGGCAAGCGUUAUCCGGAAUUACUGGGUGUAAAGGGAGCGAAGACGGCUGUGCAAGUGUGGCGUGAAAGGCGGGGGCUCAACCCCCGGACUGCACUGGAAACUGCAUGGCUGGAGUGCAGGAGAGGUAGGCGGAAUUCCUAGUGUAGCGGUGAAAUGCGUAGAGAUUAGGAGGAACACCAGUGGCGAAGGCGGCUUACUGGACUGUAACUGACGUUGAGGCUCGAAAGCGUGGGGAGCAAACAGGAUUAGAUACCCGUGUAGUC
rnacentral:rRNA from 1 species